rnacentral:rRNA from 1 species
UAGGGAAUCUUCGGCAAUGGACGAAAGUCUGACCGAGCAACGCCGCGUGAGUGAAGAAGGUUUUCGGAUCGUAAAACUCUGUUGUUAGAGAAGAACAAGGACGUUAGUAACUGAACGUCCCCUGACGGUAUCUAACCAGAAAGCCACGGCUAACUACGUGCCAGCAGCCGCGGUAAUACGUAGGUGGCAAGCGUUGUCCGGACUUAGUGGGCGUAAAGCGAGCGCAGGCGGUUUCUUAAGUCUGAUGGGAAAGCCCCGGGCUCAACCGGGGAGGGUCAUUGGAAACUGGGGGACUUGAGUGCAGAAGAGGAGAGUGGAAUUCCGGGUGUAGCGGUGAAAUGCGUAGAUAUAUGGAGGAACACCAGUGGCGAAGGCGGCUCUCUGGUCUGUAACUGACGCUGAGGCUCGAAAGCGUGGGGAGCAAACAGG